GAUGAACGCUAGCGGCAGGCUUAAUACAUGCAAGUCGUGGGGCAGCAGGACUGUAGCAAUACAGUUGCUGGCGACCGGCAAACGGGUGCGGAACACGUACGCAACUUACCCUGAACUGGGGGAUAGCCCGGGGAAACCCGGAUUAAUACCCCGUAAUAUAAUGGAGUGGCAUCACUUUAUUAUUAAAGCUCCGGCGGUUCGGGAUGGGCGUGCGGCUGAUUAGGUAGUUGGUUGAGGUAACGGCUCACCAAGCCUACGAUCAGUAACUGGUGUGAGAGCACGACCAGCCAACGGGGAACGGAGACGGGGCCCCGCCCCACACGGGAGGAAGCAGUAAGGAAUGGGGGGAAAGGGGGGAAACUCUGACCCGGCCUUGCCGGGGGGAGGAAGAGGGCCUUGUGGUUUGUAAAUUUCUUUAAGGGGGGACGAACCCUGUGUAUUCUUCCGGAGUGGACGGUCCCUGAGAAAAAACACCGGGCUACCCCCGUG
rnacentral:rRNA from 1 species